rnacentral:lncRNA from 1 species
CACAGAGUUCAUGUUCAGAUGGGGAGGCAAAUCAGAAAACAAGCUAAUAAUAAUAGUAAUAACAACAAUAAUAAUAAUUCCAAGUGCCAUGUGGAAAAUUAAAACAGGACAAAGUGACAAAGAGGAAAGAAUGACUUAGCAAUGAGUGACAGUCGUGGUUUGGGUGGCAAUGGCCUCCAAGGAGCUCAUGUCUUGAAGUUGGGUCCCCAGCUGGUAGAUACAGUCCUUGAGAAGUGAUUGGAUCAGAGGGUUUAGACUUCAUGAAUGGAACAACCCAUUGAUGGAGUCAUGAUUAAAGGCAUAAUUGGGAUGUAGUAGGUGGUGCGUAGGUUCCUUCGGUGUGCCUCUCAAGUGUUUCUUGUCUGUGGUCCCUCCCUGUCCUGCUCCCUGUUUCUUGGCUACCACGAAUCGAGUAACCUCUGCCUCAUAUUCCUGGUGCUGGGACAUUUCACCUGUUGUAGGCCCAAAGCAGUGCAGCAGCUGGCCUUCGGCCCAAACUGGAAACUGGAGUCAACAAGAAAUUUUCCUUCUUUAAAGGUGUUUUUCUCAGGGAUCUGUAACAUCAACCAGCUAGUGACAGAAUCACUGGGUGGACAGUUGGGGGUGGAGAUCAGCGAGAAUCUGAUGACCUAAGACAGGCCCCGGUGACUGCUGAGGAAGGAAGAGUCACUGCUUUGGGGACAUGGCCCCUGGGAUGGGCUGGGAACAGACAGCAGCAAUACCACCAUGUGAAUGCGGCUCAAAGAAAAUAUCAGGGCCUUUGCAUGGGACCUCCCUUUUCCAAGCAAAUGGAUGGAACUAGAAGAAACCAUCCUGAGUGAGUUAACCCAGUCACAAAAAGACAAACAUGAGCCCUCAUCAAGCAGAGGCAGACACCCAAAGCUGUACACUGAAUUGAACUCUGGAAGCCAGUGCAGAGAGGGAGGAAUGAAGAACAAAGAGAUCAGGACCAGGCUGGUGAAACCCACAGAAAUAGUUGACCUGAGCAAGGGGGAGCACAUGGACCCCAGACUGAUGUCUGGGAGGCCAGCACGGGACUGAUCCAGACCCCUGAAUGUGGAUGUCAAUGAGGAGGCCUCGGCACUCUAUGGGGCCCCUGGUAGUGGAUCAGUAUUUUUCCCUGGUGUAAGAAGGGACUUUGAGAGCCCAUCCCACAUGAGGGAUGCUCUCUUAGCCUGGACACAUGGGGGAGGGCCUAGGCCUUGCCCAGGAUGAUAUGACAGACUUUGGGGAAUCCCCA